rnacentral:rRNA from 1 species
AGUGAACGCUGGCGGUAGGCCUAACACAUGCAAGUCGAACGGCAGCACAGAGGAGCUUGCUCCUUGGGUGGCGAGUGGCGGACGGGUGAGGAAUACAUCGGAAUCUACUUUUUCGGGGGGGAUAACGUAGGGAAACUUACGCUAAUACCGCAUACGACCUACGGGGGAAAGCAGGGGAUCUUCGGACCUUGCGCGAUUGAAUGAGCCGAUGUCGGAUUAGCUAGUUGGCGGGGUAAAGGCCCACCAAGGCGACGACCCGUAGCUGGUCUGAGAGGAUGAUCAGCCACACUGGAACUGAGAUACGGUCCAGACUCCUACGGGAGGCAGCAGUGGGGAAUAUUGGACAAUGGGCGCAAGCCUGAUCCAGCCAUACCGCGUGGGUGAAGAAGGCCUUCGGGUUGUAAAGCCCUUUUGUUGGGAAAGAAAUCCAGCCGGCUAAUACCUGGUUGGGAUGACGGUACCCAAAGAAUAAGCACCGGCUAACUUCGUGCCAGCAGCCGCGGUAA